CGGCGCAGUGCGAGUCCCAGUCCCGCGCCUCCGCCCCCUCGCCCCCUCGCUCCUUCCCGCCCUCUCCGCUGCGCCGGCCGAGUCGGCUUCCCCUCGGUCUCUCAUGAAUAUUGAGCAGCCCCUGUUGUAUUUCCCGAGCUUCAUUGCGGAAGCCGAGGCUCGCCAUAUUGUGCGGCGGCGCCGGCAGCGGAGGCGACUUGUACCUGAGUCUCGCUCUGGCUGCGGCUAGCGGAGCCGGGGACUGGGGCAGGAGCCGUCUUACAGAUGUUUCACUCUGAUGAACGUGGAGAUACAGGGAGGCCAAGAUUUGACGUGAGAACUGAAGAAGGUGGAAGAAAACCCAGGAGGAAGGCAAAUGAAGAGAGAAGGCUGUUCAGGGCAUGCAUAGGAGGGGAAGCUAGCACUGACUCAAAGGGGAGCUUGAAAAAUGUCUUGACUUCAAGUGCAUUUUACUCCCUGACAAGCGGGAUGGGAUCCUUCAUGGUGAAAAACGAAGCCUGCACCCCUCCCUAGUCAUUGAUGGAAUAAACACAAAAUUCUGGAAAUAA